UACGAGGGGUCCUAGCGUUGUUCGGAAUUAUUGGGCGUAAAGCGGGUGUAGGUGGUUAUUUAAGUCAGAAGUGAAAGCCCUGGGCUCAACCCAGGAAGUGCUUUUGAUACUGAGUAACUUGAGUGUGGGAGAGGUUAGUAGAAUUCCUGGUGUAGUGGUGAAAUACGUAGAUAUCAGGAGGAAUACCGGUGUGGAAGCUGGCUAACUGGCCCAACACUGACACUCAGACCCGAAAGCGUGGGGAGCAAACAGG
rnacentral:misc_RNA from 1 species